UGGGGAAUCUUCCGCAAUGGACGAAAGUCUGACGGAGCAACGCCGCGUGAGUGAUGACGGCCUUCGGGUUGUAAAGCUCUGUUAAUCGGGACGAAUGGUUCUUGUGCGAAUAGUGCAAGGAUUUGACGGUACCGGAAUAGAAAGCCACGGCUAACUACGUGCCAGCAGCCGCGGUAAUACGUAGGUGGCAAGCGUUGUCCGGAAUUAUUGUGCGUAAAGCGCGCGCAGGCGGAUUGGUCAGUCUGUCUUAAAAGUUCGGGGCUUAACCCCGUGAUGGGAUGGAAACUGCCAAUCUAGAGUAUCGGAGAGGAAAGUGGAAUUCCUAGUGUAGCGGUGAAAUGCGUAGAUAUUAGGAAGAACACCAGUGGCGAAGGCGACUUUCUGGACGAAAACUGACGCUGAGGCGCGAAAGCCAGGGGAGCGAACGGG
rnacentral:rRNA from 1 species